rnacentral:rRNA from 1 species
GAUGAACGCUGGCGGCGUGCCUAAUACAUGCAAGUCGAGCGAACAGACGAGGAGCUUGCUCCUCUGACGUUAGCGGCGGACGGGUGAGUAACACGUGGAUAACCUACCUAUAAGACUGGGAUAACUUCGGGAAACCGGAGCUAAUACCGGAUAAUAUAUUGAACCGCAUGGUUCAAUAGUGAAAGACGGUUUUGCUGUCACUUAUAGUUGGAUCCGCGCCGCAUUAGCUAGUUGGUAAGGUAACGGCUUACCAAGGCAACGAUGCGUAGCCGACCUGAGAGGGUGAUCGGCCACACUGGAACUGAGACACAGUCCAGACUCCUACGGGAGGCAGCAGUAGGGAAUCUUCCGCAAUGGGCGAAAGCUUGACGGAGCAACGCCGCGUGAGUGAUGAAGGUCUUCGGAUCGUAAAACUCUGUUAUUAGGGAAGAACAAAUGUGUAAGUAACUAUGCACGUCUUGACGGUACCUAAUCAGAAAGCCACGGCUAACUACGUG